GAUCCACUAAACUUGUAAUAAUUGAGAGAUUGCUGCUUCUGGCAGAACGCUAUGUGAUCACUAUAGAGGAUUUUUACUCUGUUCCACGAACUAUUCUACCUCAUGGUGCCUCAUUUCAUGGACAUCUUUUAACUCUUAAUGUUACUUAUGAGUCUACCAAAGAUACCUUUACUGUUGAGGCUCACAGUAAUGAAACCAUAGGGAGUGUCCGAUGGAAGAUAGCCAAGCAGUUGUGCUCUCCUGUGGAUAAUAUACAGAUAUUUACAAAUGAUAGCCUGCUGACAGUGAAUAGAGAUCAAAAGCUGCUCCACCAGCUGGGCUUCUCUGAUGAGCAAGUGCUUACAGUGAAGACUUCUGGCAGUGGGACCCCAUCUGGAAGCUCCGCGGAUUCCUCCACCAGCUCCAGCAGCAGCAGCAGUGGGGUUUUCAGUUCCUCGUAUGUCAUGGAGCAGG